rnacentral:piRNA from 1 species
UUGAGGGUCCAACUUUAUGCUGAGUAUUGAU